CUCUUGAAGAAAUAUUACAAACCUGCACACUGACUCUGAGCAUUUUGGCAGCAACCUCUUCAGAAUGUGGGUCCCAUCACAUUCAAGCACCGAGACAGUUAAAUCGUUGUCAAAUUAUACCAGACGCUGGUGCCACUGCAUACGAAGCCUUAGAAUCCGACAACGUUUUUAAAAAACGUCAGUUUGAUGCUUUUAUCAUCAAUUUAAAAUCAGUCCCCAUGGAGCAUGAGUAGAAUUUCUAAAGUCACAAAGCCACUGUCACCUUCUUAUUUGUCACGUUUCACUCACACUCCAUGUCUGUUCAACAACGUAGACGGUAACCCGUGCAUGUACAGACAUUGCAUAAAGCUAAUAUUAAUACUGUACAUAUAAGUUCAAGCAUAUUUCGACUAUUUGCACUUCUGGAUUGAUGUAGACCUCCGCAUCAGGGUGGUAGGGUGGUAGUAGCCUAGUGGGUGACACACUCGCCUAUGAACCAGAAGACCCAGGUUCAAAUCCCAUUUACUACCAUUGUGUCCCUGAACAAGACACUUAACCCUAAGUGUCUCCCGGGGGACUGUCCCCUGUAACUACUGAUCGUCCCUCUGGAUAAGGGCGUCUGUUAAAUGCUGUAAAUGUAAAUUCUGGAAUAUCAAUUAAGAAGAAUCUAUUAUAUCAAAUCUAGCAAUAAUGUACUGCUUUUUUUAAUUAUUAUUUGUCUGAUAUUAAGUGCUGAUGUGGAUAAACUUUUUCUUUUUUGUUACAGUGCUACUCUAAAAACUGAGUCACGCAGGGUAUUUUUUUAUAUAAAUAUAUGUGUGUGUGUGUGUGUAAGUCCCACCUGCGUGGGGGUGUGGAGUGGGCAGGACCGCUCGCCCCCCGGCUCUCCGCCGCACGCGCCGCCGCGUGCCUGACGUCUGUCUCGCGCUCCUCCUCGCCGCCGACUGCAGGCAGCUCCGCCGUCCGGACCGCCGAGCCCGGCACGCGAGACAGCCCUGCGUGCGUGGAGGCGCGCGGACGCGUGGACGCGUCGGGUGGCGGCUGCGGAGCGAACGGGGGGAGCAGAAGAAAGAAAGAAAUAAAGAAAGAAGAGAAACAAAACUUCCGAGUUGGGCUGGAGGGACGGACGCGGGUGCGAGCCGACAAAACUCCGGCGGAUGACCAGCGGACGCGGCAACGUCGCGGCGCGCGAUGGGAUAUGAAUCUUCCCCCCGCCUCGGUGCCCUCCUGCAGUCCCCACUCUCUGUUGCUGCCCUCCAUCACUUUUCAUCUGGAGAGGCUGUUCUUUCCACCCACCGCAGCUCUGCAGUACAGGCCUACAACCGUGAGUGGCGAUCGCUUAAUCGAUGAACACACCGUGUUAGCAGAAUUUAAACCGACUGCGCCUCUCUGUGCCGGUGUACAGCAU
rnacentral:lncRNA from 1 species